UUCUAUCAGAACUCCGAGUCGGGACCGGACGGCGCGGCCGGGUCCCCGGGCCUCGUCGGAAUAUGACCCUCGGAGCUCCGAGGUGACCCCUCUCUGCGCGGCCGGCCUUGAUCGGCUUCUCAGCAUCCCGGCCCUGGCCCUGGCUCGGGAGAGCCGCGGUCUCUUUGUCCCUGCCUUUCCUCUCUCCGUUUCGUCUUCCAGCUCAGAGAAGCAGCGACCUCGGGGGCAUUAAUAUUUCAGCACCCACCUCCCCCAGGGCUUAAGGACCUUGGAGCCUUUCCAUCUCCUGCAGGGGGAAUAGGAGUAGAGAGUGCUGGGGAGGAAAA
rnacentral:lncRNA from 1 species